AAAUUGAAGAGUUUGAUCAUGGCUCAGAUUGAACGCUGGCGGCAGGCCUAACACAUGCAAGUCGAACGGUAACAGGAAGCAGCUUGCUGCUUUGCUGACGAGUGGCGGACGGGUGAGUAAUGUCUGGGAAACUGCCUGAUGGAGGGGGAUAACUACUGGAAACGGUAGCUAAUACCGCAUAACGUCGCAAGACCAAAGAGGGGGACCUUCGGGCCUCUUGCCAUCAGAU
rnacentral:rRNA from 1 species